AAUAGAUACCCCGGUAGUCCACGCCGUAAACGAUGGAUACUAGCUGUUUGAGCGCAAGUUUGAGUGGCUAAGCGAAAGUGAUAAGUAUCCCACCUGGGGAGUACGGGCGCAAGCCUGAAACUCAAAGGAAUUGACGGGGGCCCGCACAAGCGGUGGAGCAUGUGGUUUAAUUCGAUGAUACGCGAGGAACCUUACCAGGGCUUAAAUGUAGAUUGACGUAUUUGGAAACAGAUAUUUCUUCGGACAAUUUACAAGGUGCUGCAUGGUUGUCGUCAGCUCGUGCCGUGAGGUGUCAGGUUAAGUCCUAUAACGAGCGCAACCCCUGUUGUUAGUUGCCAGCGAGUAAUGUCGGGAACUCUAGCAAGACUGCCAGUGUAAACUGUGAGGAAGGUGGGGAUGACGUCAAAUCAUCACGGCCCUUACGUCCUGGGCCACACACGUGCUACAAUGGCCGGUACAGAGAGCGGCCACUUAGCGAUAAGGAGCGAAUCUAUAAAGCCGGUCACAGUUCGGAUCGGAGU
rnacentral:rRNA from 1 species